ensembl:lncRNA
GGCUAUCCAACAUAGUAGUAGUAUACACUUCCUUAACUUUAGCCAUUUAAAGAUAUGUUUCUAGGCUCUCUCAGAUACACGUCUUUUGGUGGCCAUAAAAGCUAGUGUUGUCUUCUUUCUCUAAUGAUUCUAGAGGGAGCUUAGGGGAUUAGUUUAAGCUAGACAACUCACAUUCAGAUGGUUAAAGUUAAGUGAAAUUAAUUCCAUUUUUGCUGCUCAUCCCCUGCUGCUGCUCAGUCUCCAGUUGAGACGCUGCAUACUCUUUAACUCUAGGACAGCUUCUAGUGAGCUAAUAAAGGAAGGAAUUUAUGAUAUCAGGAGAGGAUCAACAUCAAGAUCGUUACUCACGACAAAUGCCCUUGAAAAAACACAAGGCAGGCAGUGGGGGAGAUGCUAUGUAGACAGAAGAGUCCUGAAAUAGAAACUUGGUCCAGCAUUUCUAUGAGAUGUCAGCAAUUUUUAACUGAGCUUUGCAGGCAGAUAUUCAACCAAUUGGAACUAAUCCAUUUCCAAAAGAGGUGAAUCAAUGUCUAGCAAUUCACUAAGCCAAUUGCCCAAGUGCUGGUUGUUAGAAAUCUGUAUUUCAUUGCUUCAUGAGGGUAGAGUCCACUGGCACGCACAAGUGCAUCCAAGGAGGCAGCCCCAAAGUCUCUUCUGAGCUGACGGGAACAGGAACCAUGGCUGUCAAGCAGAACAUCUCAGGAUUUACUGACGCAGCUGGGAAGAACCGUCUUACUUUAGCCUCCGGUACGGGGAUGAAGAGUUUUUGGUGUGAGCUAACAUAUGGGUGAAUGCAAUACCUGCAAACCAGAGGAGGACUCUUCCCCGGAACACUUGGAAGGUUGGAGGCAAGAGGCAUUUCAGAAGUACCAAGGUAGAAAUGGCUGGUUGAGACACUUCCAUCUUCCCAAAUGGAGUUAUAUCAGGCUGCGAUCACUGAUCCCUCAGAAACCACCAAAUUCCAUUUCUCAUGUCGGUUUUGUUUGCUUUGGGAAAAUUGCAAAACAGCUGAUCUGAAACCCAUGAAAGUCAAGAGGAGUCUUUGA